rnacentral:misc_RNA from 1 species
GGGGGCAGUAGGUAUUGAUCUAAGCGGCUAAGAGGAUCGAAGAACAUCCCGCUCGUCAGAGGAAAAUUCUAUGUUAAAAGGCUAGCUUUGCUUUCUCAGGGCAGUAAAGAUAGAAUCAAUUCGAAUCAGAAGCAUCUCGGGAGUCAAUAGACUGUUUUCGACGUGAACGGUUGUAGAUCGCUAGGCCCCUUAUUCAAAAGGAAUUGAUAGAGUCAGAUUCAUAUGAAAGGCUAGGCACCUUCCCGCAUUCGCACCUUUAUUAAAAUAUUUAGCCCGGUCAGCAUGUACAGAUUGACGCGAAUCGAGACUCCGAUAGAACUGCUUAUCCCC